rnacentral:rRNA from 1 species
UACAGAGGUGGCAAGCGUUGUUCGGAAUUACUGGGCGUAAAGGGCGCGUAGGCGGCCUACUAAGUCGGAUGUGAAAUCCCCAGGCUCAACCUGGGAACUGCAUCCGAUACUGGAUGGCUUGAAUUCGGGAGAGGGAUGCAGAAUUCCAGGUGUAGCGGUGAAAUGCGUAGAUAUCAGGAGGAACACCGAUGGCGAAGGCAGGUCUCUGGGCAUUAACUGACGCUGAGGAGCGAAAGCAUGGGGAGCGAACAGG